CCCCAAGCUCUGCCUUACCAGGGGCAUGACCUUCCAGGGCCCGCGUGCUGUUGGGUUUGGUCCGAGGAGGGGUGCUUAAGUUUUGGUGCACAGGUGACUCGUGAGGGGAUCAUGGUU